AUUGAACGCUGGCGGCAGGCCUAACACAUGCAAGUCGAGCGGAUGAAGGGAGCUUGCUCCCGGAUUCAGCGGCGGACGGGUGAGUGAUGCCCAGGAAUCUGCCUGGUAUUGGGGGAUAACGUCCGGAAACGGGCGCUAAUACCGCAUACGUCCUGAGGGAAAAAGUGGGGGAUCUUCGGACCUCACGCUAUCUGAUGAGCCUAGGUCGGAUUAGCUAGUUGGUGGGGUAAAGGCCUACCAAGGCGACGAUCCGUAUCUGGUCUGAGAGGAUGAUCAGACACACUGGAACUGAGACACGGUCCAGACUCCUACGGGAGGCAGCAGUGGGGAAUAUUGGGCAAUGGGCGAAAGCCUGAUCCAGCCAUGCCGCGUGUGUGAAGAAGGUCUUCGGAUUGUAAAGCACUUUAAGUUGGGAGGAAGAGCAGUAUGUUAAUACCUUGCUGUUUUGACGGUACCAACAGAAUAAGCACCGGCUAACUUCGUG
rnacentral:rRNA from 1 species